rnacentral:rRNA from 1 species
AAAUUGAAGAGUUUGAUCAUGGCUCAGAUUGAACGCUGGCGGCAGGCCUAACACAUGCAAGUCGAACGGUAGCACAGAGAGCUUGCUCUCGGGUGACGAGUGGCGGACGGGUGAGUAAUGUCUGGGAAACUGCCUGAUGGAGGGGGAUAACUACUGGAAACGGUGGCUAAUACCGCAUAACGUCGCAAGACCAAAGAGGGGGACCUUCGGGCCUCUUGCCAUCAGAUGUGCCCAGAUGGGAUUAGCUGGUUGGUGAGGUAACGGCUCACCAAGGCGACG